AGCGAACGCUGGCGGCAGGCCUAACACAUGCAAGUCGAACGAACUCUUCGGAGUUAGUGGCGGACGGGUGAGUAACACGUGGGAACGUGCCUUUAGGUUCGGAAUAACUCAGGGAAACUUGUGCUAAUACCGAAUGUGCCCUUCGGGGGAAAGAUUUAUCGCCUUUAGAGCGGCCCGCGUCUGAUUAGCUAGUUGGUGAGGUAAAGGCUCACCAAGGCGACGAUCAGUAGCUGGUCUGACAGGAUGACCAGCCACAUGGGGACUGGGACACGGCCCAAACUCGUACGGGAGGCAGCAGUGGGGAAUCUUGCGCAAUGGGCGAAAGCCUGACGCAGCCAUGCCGCGUGAAUGAUGAAGGUCUUAGGAUUGUAAAAUUCUUUCACCGGGGACGAUAAUGACGGUACCCGGAGAAGAAGCCCCGGCUAACUUCGUGCCAGCCGCCGCGGUAAAAC
rnacentral:rRNA from 1 species